UACGUAGGGUGCAAGCGUUGUCCGGAAUUAUUGGGCGUAAAGAGCUCGUAGGCGGUUUGUCGCGUCUGCCGUGAAAACCCGAGGCUCAACCUCGGGCCUGCAGUGGGUACGGGCAGACUAGAGUGCGGUAGGGGAGAUUGGAAUUCCUGGUGUAGCGGUGGAACGCGCAGAUAUCAGGAAGAACACCGAUGGCGAAGGCAGAUCUCUGGGCCGUAACUGACGCUGAGGAGCGAAAGCAUGGGGAGCGAACAGG
rnacentral:rRNA from 1 species